rnacentral:rRNA from 1 species
GAAGCGAAAGUAAAAUUUCGUGGAGGUCCGAACCCACGAGCGUUGAAAAGCUCGGGGAUGACUUGUGGGUAGCGGUGAAAUUCCAAUCGAGCCCGGAGAUAGCUGGUUCUCCCCGAAAUAGCUUUAGGGCUAGCCUCAAGGUGAGAGAUACGGAGGUAGAGCACUGAAUGUCCUAGGGGGUAUUGCACCUACCGAAGACUAUCAAACUCCGAAUGCCGUCAUCUUAUACUUGGGAGUCAGACUGUGGGUGAUAAGAUUCAUAGUCGAAAGGGCAACAGCCCAGAUCGUCAGCUAAGGUCCCUAAAUGUAAGUUAAGUGGUAAAGGAUGUGGGAUUGCACAGACAACCAGGAUGUUGGCUUAGAAGCAGCCACUCAUUCAAAGAGUGCGUAAUAGCUCACUGGUCGAGUGAUCCUGCGCCGAAGAUUUCCGGGGCUAAAACUUACUACCGAAGCUACGGCAUCAGUAAUGAUGGGUAGGGGAGCUUCCCAUACGGGUUGAAGCAUGACCGUAAGGACAUGUGGACAGUAUGGGAGUGAGAAUGUUGGCAUGAGUAGCGAGAUGUGGGUGAGAAUCCCACAGGCCGUAAACCCAAGGUUUCCAGGGGAAGGUUCGUCCGCCCUGGGUUAGUCGGGACCUAAGCUGAGGCCGAAAGGCGUAGGUGAUGGACAACAGGUUGAUAUUCCUGUACUACCGAUAACCGUUUGAGAGAAGGGAUGACACAGUAGGAUAAGCUAAGCACACUGUUGGUUAUGUGUGCCCAAGCAUUGAGGCAGUCAAAGUAGGCAAAUCCGCUUUGAUAAUGCUGGGAUGUGAUGGGGAGCGAAAUUUAGUAGCGAA